GCUCAGUUGGUUAAGCGCCUGACUCUUGACUUCAGCUCAAGUCAUGAUCUCCUGGUUCGUGGGUUUGAGCCCUGCACUGGGCU
rnacentral:tRNA from 1 species